GUGACACUCCGAAUCUUCUGCAGGAGCUGUUCAAGACGUUGGUGCCCGCCCACUGCCUCGGCUCCAUCUGGUCCGAGCGCGACAACAGGGAACGCGAGUCCCUGGCACCCACCGUCCGUGACACUGUGAUGCACGACAACACCGUGGCCCAAUUGCAUCCUCGUCACCUGCCUUGGGGACGCGAGCAUGACAGCGCAGGACAGGGCCAGGGUGGUUGAGCUGUGGAUCAGGGUGGCUGAGGAGUGUCGAGGCCUCGGGAACUUCUGUUCCCUCCACACAAUCCUUUCUGCCCUGCAGAGCCCUGCCAUUGCCCGUCUCCAAGACAGCUGGGGACAAGUUUCCAGGGAGAGUUCUCGAACCUGGAAGAAGUGGGUCAGGAGAGAGAAACGCGUGAGCAGGGAGCUGCUGGUGCAGGUAACCUGGAGGCUGGAGAUCUGGAAGGAGGCCAGAAGGAGGUGGGAGGGGAGCAUCCCGAGGGGAUCCUAGGAGGUGAGGCUAUGGCAAGGCUCGGCCGAGGCUGGGGGUCAGAGAGCCCGGUGAGGGUGGGGCAGGCCGGGGCCACUCGGCCAGGUCCCCCAAGACACCCUGCCCUCCCCCUCCCUGUCUGUUCAGCUGGGGUCUGGACGCACCCCUGGAGUCCGGAGGUCGGGGCCUUGGUCAGAUUUGGAGCCAGGGCUGGGGUGAAGGCAGCGGGGACAGGGCCUGUAGCUGGCACGGGGAGCAGCCUCUCCCAGUGGCUCUUUGAGCCAGUCACUGCCCCUCUGGGGGCCUCCGUCUCCUCCUCUGGGAAGUGGAGGGAAAUGAUCAGCGGUGCAGGCCUCCCAGCGGGGUGCUACCAUCCAAGGGAAGACAGGAACGCAAGGAGAUUUGUGCCGGCUCCUCCUCGAGAGGUGAGGGGAGAGCAGUGAUGACACGCAGAUGACUCUGAGUCCUCAGGAGACUCCUGGAAGCAGGAGGCGACCUCCGUGUUAAAGACUGCAGAGAGGGCCCGCCAGGGAGCCCAGGAGAGGCAGCGGCAGCAGGUGAGGGUGACUGUGGGGGAGGGGCCCAGGAGUCAGAGGAGAGGGGGCUCCCCCUCCCAGCUGGAGACCUCCUUCAGGAGAGGGGCCUUCCUCCUCAGGUGAAUCUGCUGUGGCUGCCAAGCAUGACGGGCCUGCAGUGGCAGUGAGCAGGAGGAGGCCUGGAAGGGCUGGCAGCAGGGGUGUCAUCCCCUCCCUGGUGACGAUCUUCCAUUCCCUGGAGCUGCUGGAUGCUACGAUGGAGGAUUAUGUGGAGGUGAGUGAGCCCGGAGGUGGGUCCGGGGGCUCAGGCUCCUGAGGCUGGG
rnacentral:lncRNA from 1 species